rnacentral:rRNA from 1 species
UUAUACCGUGAAACUGCGAAUGGCUCAUUAAAUCAGUUAUCGUUUAUUUGAUAGUACCUUACUACUUGGAUAACCGUGGUAAUUCUAGAGCUAAUACAUGCUGAAAACCCCGACUUCGGGAGGGGUGUAUUUAUUAGAUAAAAAACCAACGCCCUUCGGGGCUGUUUGGCGAUUCAUGAUAACUUCUCAGAUCGCAUGGCCUUGCGCCGGCGACGGUUCAUUCAAAUUUCUGCCCUAUCAACUUUCGAUGGUAAGGUAUUGGCUUACCAUGGUUUCAACGGGUAACGGGGAAUUAGGGUUCGAUUCCGGAGAGGGGGCCUGAGACAUGGCCACCACAUCCAAGGAAGGCAGCAGGCGCGCAAAUUACCCAAUCCCGACACGGGGAGGUAGUGACAAUAAAUACUGAUACAGGGCUCUUUUGGGUCUUGUAAUUGGAAUGAGUACAAUUUAAACCUCUUAACGAGGAACAAUUGGAGGGCAAGUCUGGUGCCAGCAGCCGCGGUAAUUCCAGCUCCAAUAGCGUAUAUUAAAGUUGUUGCAGUUAAAAAGCUCGUAGUUGAACCUUUGGCCUGGCUGGCGGGUCCGCCUCACCGCGUGCACUCGACCGGCCGGGCCUUCUCUUCUGGAGAACCUCAUGCCCUUCACUGGGUGUGUUGGGGACCAGGACUUUUACUUUGAAAAAAUUAGAGUGUUCAAAGCAGGCCUUUGCUCGAAUACGUUAGCAUGGAAUAAUGGAAUAGGACGUGUGGUCCUAUUUUGUUGGUUUCUAGGACCGCCGUAAUGAUUAAUAGGGACAGUCGGGGGCAUCAGUAUUCAAUUGUCAGAGGUGAAAUUCUUGGAUUUAUUGAAGACUAACUACUGCGAAAGCAUUUGCCAAGGAUGUUUUCAUUAAUCAGUGAACGAAAGUUAGGGGGAUCGAAGACGAUCAGAAUAACCGUCGUAGUCUUAACCAUAAACUAUGCCGACUAAGGGCGGGCGGGUGUUUCUCAAUUGACCCGCUCGGCACCUUACGAGAAAUCAAAGUGUU